UAUUGGACAAUGGGCGAAAGCCUGAUCCAGCCAUGCCGCGUGUGUGAAGAAGGCUUUCGGGUUUUAAAGCACUUUCAGCGGGGAAGAAGGCUUGUCGGUCAAUACCCGGCAAGAGCGACAUCACCCGCACAAGAAGCACCGGCUAACUCCGUGCCAACAGCCGCGGUAAUACGGAGGGUGCAAGCGUUAAUCGGAAUUACUGGGUGUAAAGCGCGCGUAGGCGGCGUGUCACGCCGGGUGUGAAAGCCCCGGGCUCAACCUGGGAACGGCAUCCGGAACGGGCAGGCUAGAGUGCAGGAGAGGAAGGUAGAAUUCCCGGUGUAGCGGUGAAAUGCGUAGAGAUCGGGAGGAAUACCAGUGGCGAAGGCGGCCUUCUGGACUGACACUGACGCUGAGGUGCGAAAGCGUGGGUAGCAAAC
rnacentral:rRNA from 1 species